rnacentral:rRNA from 1 species
AUGCACGCUGGCGGCGUGCCUAAUCCAUGCAAGUCGAGCGAACAGAUCAGGAGCUUGCUCCUUUGACGUUAGCGGCGGACGGGUGAGUAACACGUGGGUAACCUACCUAUAAGACUGGGAUAACUUCGGGAAACCGGAGCUAAUACCGGAUAAUAUUUCGAACCGCAUGGUUCGAUAGUGAAAGAUGGUUUUGCUAUCACUUAUAGAUGGACCCGCGCCGUAUUAGCUAGUUGGUAAGGUAACGGCUUACCAAGGCGACGAUACGUAGCCGACCUGAGAGGGUGAUCGGCCACACUGGAACUGAGACACGGUCCAGACUCCUACGGGAGGCAGCAGUAGGGAAUCUUCCGCAAUGGGCGAAAGCCUGACGGAGCAACGCCGCGUGAGUGAUGAAGGUCUUCGGAUCGUAAAACUCUGUUAUUAGGGAAGAACAUACGUGUAAGUAACUGUGCACGUCUUGACGGUACCUAAUCAGAAAGCCACGGCUAACUACGUG